rnacentral:rRNA from 1 species
UACGUAGGGUGCAAGCGUUAAUCGGAAUUACUGGGCGUAAAGCGUGCGCAGGCGGUUGUGCAAGACAGAUGUGAAAUCCCCGGGCUCAACCUGGGAACUGCAUUUGUGACUGCACGGCUGGAGUGCGGCAGAGGGGGAUGGAAUUCCGCGUGUAGCAGUGAAAUGCGUAGAUAUGCGGAGGAACACCGAUGGCGAAGGCAAUCCCCUGGGCUAACACUGACGCUCAUGCACGAAAGCGUGGGGAGCAAACAGG